rnacentral:rRNA from 1 species
ACGCUGGCGGCGUGCCUAAUACAUGCAAGUAGAACGCUGAAAGAGGAGCUUGCUUCUCUGGAUGAGUUGCGAACGGGUGAGUAACGCGUAGGUAACCUGCCUGGUAGCGGGGGAUAACUAUUGGAAACGAUAGCUAAUACCGCAUAAGAGUAGAUGUUGCAUGACAUUUGCUUAAAAGGUGCAAUUGUAUCACUACCAGAUGGACCUGCGUUGUAUUAGCUAGUUGGUGGGGUAACGGCUCACCAAGGCGACGAUACAUAGCCGACCUGAGAGGGUGAUCGGCCACACUGGGACUGAGACACGGCCCAGACUCCUACGGGAGGCAGCAGUAGGGAAUCUUCGGCAAUGGACGGAAGUCUGACCGAGCAACGCCGCGUGAGUGAAGAAGGUUUUCGGAUCGUAAAGCUCUGUUGUAAGAGAAGAACGAGUGUGAGAGUGGACAGUUCACACUGUGACGGUAUCUUACCAGAAUGGGACGGCUAACUACGUGCCAGCAGCCGCGGUAAUACGUAGGUCCCGAGCGUUGUCCGGAUUUAUUGGGCGUAAAGCGAGCGCAGGCGGUUAGAUAAGUCUGAAGUUAAAGGCUGUGGCUUAACCAUAGUACGCUUUGGAAACUGUUUAACUUGAGUGCAAGAGGGGAGAGUGGAAUUCCAUGUGUAGCGGUGAAAUGCGUAGAUAUAUGGAGGAACACCGGUGGCGAAAGCGGCUCUCUGGCUCGUAACUGACGCUGAGGCUCGAAAGCGUGGGGAGCGAACAGGAUUAGAUACCCUGGUAGUCCACGCCGUAAACGAUGAGUGCUAGGUGUUAGACCCUUUCCGGGGUUUAGUGCCGCAGCUAACGCAUUAAGCACUCCGCCUGGGGAGUACGACCGCAAGGUUGAAACUCAAAGGAAUUGACGGGGCCCGCACAA